AGUUGGAUUCGCUAGUAAUCGCGCAUCAGCCAUGGCGCGGUGAAUACGUUCCCGGGCCUUGUACACACCGCCCGUCAAGCCAUGGGAGCCGGGGGCGCCUGAAGUCCGGGACCGCGAGGACCGGCCUAGGGCGAAACUGGUGACUGGGGCUAAGUCGUAACAAGGUAUC
rnacentral:rRNA from 1 species